AUUGAACGCUGGCGGCAUGCUUUACACAUGCAAGUCGAACGGUAACAGCACUUCGGUGGCUGACGAGUGGCGAACGGGUGAGUAAUACAUCGGAACGUGCCUAGUAGUGGGGGAUAACUACUCGAAAGAGUAGCUAAUACCGCAUGAGAUCUAAGGAUGAAAGCAGGGGACCUUCGGGCCUUGCGCUACUAGAGCGGCUGAUGGCAGAUUAGGUAGUUGGUGGGAUAAAAGCUUACCAAGCCGACGAUCUGUAGCUGGUCUGAGAGGACGACCAGCCACACUGGGACUGAGACACGGCCCAGACUCCGACGGGAGGCAGCAGUGGGGAAUUUUGGACAAUGGGCGCAAGCCUGAUCCAGCAAUGCCGCGUGCAGGAUGAAGGCCUUCGGGUUGUAAACUGCUUUUGUACGGAACGAAAAGCCCUCUUCUAAUACAGGAGGGUCAUGACGGUACCGUAAGAAUAAGCACCGGCUAACUACGUG
rnacentral:rRNA from 1 species